CUAAAAUUAUUAGAUCGACUAAAGAAAUAGAGACCUAUUUUAUAUGAUGAUACCUUGUGAAAUUAAGGUUGACAGGCGAUAGACUUUGCCUGGAGAGGCACUUGAGAGAGAAAAGUAAUCAAUGGAGAAAGUUCUAGGGAAAUGUUAGCAUAAGAAUGAGUGGUUUCAAAUAGUCUGCUCAUAAAUUCCGGCUGGACUUCAGAAGUUUGCUCACAGAUAGAGGAAAUGAGGUUCUGGAAUGACUUUCCAAUAGUAAUGGGAAAAGCAAUCAAGCGAGUUGUGAAGAUGAAAUAAGUUUUGUGCAGGUAACUGUGCUAUAAAAUUAUAAUCUCAUUCAUUCCCCGGGAACUUCCUCACGGGCCUGUGUUUCGGUCCUAGUGGAAAUUCCCCAGUGGGCAGGACUGGGGCUCUGCUGGCAGAAUGGCAUCCUCUAAAGACUUAUUUCUCUGAAAUUUCAUAAAAACUUCUCCUAAGCUUUCAGGAAUCUUUAUGGAUAAAAAGUGGGUUGGGGUGGCCCUGGCUGGAUGCUCUCUCACAUCCCACUCCUCAACACGUCCCAUUGUUCAUGUGCUGGUGGAGAAGAUGGGAGGUAAUUUGUUGAUUCUUCUGCCACUGUGCCUUGAAGUAUAGAAAAUAUUCCUUUUUUUUUUGAGUAUUUCUAACUCUCUUCACAGUUGGCAUCUCUAAAGGCCUCUGAGAGACUUAAACAGCAACAUUCCCAUUUUCCACAUGAAAAUAAACCUUGCCAGCUUGGCUAGAACUAAUUUUCUAAUUAAUGGCUCCCUGAUUUUCUCUUUUCCUUAGAAGCUGUGGUAUUCCUGUGGAUAACAGCACUUUUGUUGUUGUUAGGCUUGUUUGGGUUAUUUUUCCCUAGUGAGUGUCUCUUUUGAUUUAACUGUAGACACUUAGGGAGAACAAUAUGGAGGAGAUAAAUGAAAGUGCACAGAAAAUAUUCAUUAAAAAUAUAGGUCCUUGUCUCGCCACAGAAGAGCAAGAUGUAAGAUUGCUUUUCUUUAGAUCCUUUUCUCAUGGCCUAUUAACAACCCCUUACCUUUUUUUUCUUUUUAAACUUUGUAUUUCUUUCCCAAAAGUCAGCAAUGUGUUUAAUGAGUGAAAACAUUCUCCUUUAAAGGUCACCCCACUUCAGAUUGACUUGACUGUUGAUUGCACUUGAGCUCAUAGCUUUCAUUCACAUUAACCCCAUUUGUUUUUAAUUAAGCAGUGUCUUUUGAGCAAAGACAGUCCAUCACUGCUGUCAAAAGGUAAAUUUUACUCUUUAAUACCAAGCCUUGUAUUUCAGUUUAACAGAGAUGAAGCUUUGAGAGCAAUUUACUCAGACUAUGGAUUUUUAAGCAGGAAUGCAAAUUGUCUCACAAGUUGCCAUGGCCCAAUUUAAUCUAAUAGCAUUCAAAGUGAAUUCUAACAGAAACAACUCACUCAGCCACAGUUCCAGCUGCAUAUUUUCAUGCAUUUCCUUGGUAUCCAGUGUGUACCAGGCAUCAUUUUUGUUUAUUAACACUGACCCUGUCCAGUAAAGACCCUUCCAGAACUGGUGGGCUCCCCCUUCCUCUCUUCCCAUCAGAAAAGUCCUUUGCUAGUGGUAUUCACAAAAUAUGGCUUUGGGGUUGGCUAAGCAAACACAAGCUUUGAUAUAAGGGUUAUAGUGCUUAAAAAAUGCAAAACAAAUAAACAAAAAAAUCACCCCAAAGACCCACAGAUUUUUGGGGUAAGCCCUGGGUUUGUGUUUUUCAUCAGCUUACUUAAUUUUUCCUGUUUUCUGAAGUGCAUCAAAGAAGAGAACGUGGAGAAGGUUGUCUGGGAUCAAUUAGCAGCAGCUCUCUGAAUUAGCAGCAUAGCAAAUUUGGAGGAUCCUGUGCCAAGACCUGUUGAUGGUGAAAACAUUGGUUCUUUUUUUUUGCAGGAGAAUUUAACAGCCAAGUCCUUUCUGUCUGCAUGGGAGACCCCAUUGCCCUUAACUUUGGGAGAAACAGGAGACCAAGCUCCCCAAGAUGUGGGCAAAGCAGCAUUUCAUGGCAGAGCACUUGUGGAAAUGCCCCACAGCAAGAUGUGCCUAUUUUGAAUUUCCUUGGGAUAUUGCCACGGUGCUCUUCGAGAGGCAACAAGUGACAGGAGUGUUCCUUGAGCUGCUGUCUCAUAUCCAAUUCCAGCAUAUUACAGAACAUUUCCUAAGGAAUUCAGUCUUCUCAGCCUGCCCUGCUGCCGUAUCUCCAGUUUCCAUAAAGGCAGAGAAGUCGUCCAGGUCCCAGGGAAGCUGAUGGGAGAUCUGCAAUCCAGUGGAAGCAAGAUUGGAAGCUCCUGCCCACAGUGUGUGAACAGGACAGAAAGGCAUCAUUGUGCUCCAGGUGAGGAUGAGAAGGGGUAGAACUACUGGAGGGUGACUCACCCCAGACUCACAGCUGUGAAAAAUAAAAACAUUCCAUUUUGAAGGCUUGAAGAGGUAUCAAAAAUGAAGCUGAAAGGCUGAUUUUCUUGCCUAUGAAGGAAUACUUGCCAUACUCUAAUUCCUCCCUGCAAUAGAUGUUUAUUUAGGUAAAGUUAAGCAGCAGCAGCAGUAGCUUCCUUGGAUACAAAUACAUCUGAAACUGUGGCAAAGAGUUUAUGCUUUUAGGAGAGUCAGAGUUCAGACCUGGGGAGAAUAAGACAGUCAGACUGCAUUUUUUCUCUCCAGGGAACAGAUAAAAUUUUGGUAUGUUCUCUUCCUUCCACUUCAGGUCUGGAAAACUGCCCCCAACUAUCCAUUUCCUUUUUUUUUCCCCUUACAAGACACCCAAAAGGUUGUGUGAAGGGAUUGCUUAAGGGGAUUCUUUUAGUUGUCAUUUUCUGCCCUUCGGGUACCUCAUUCAGAGAAGAAGAGAGUAGGGUUAUGCCAUACAUGAACUCCCUAAUUAGCUUGGUCUUUGCAUGUUAAGUGUUUUGAUUAGUUAAUUUUGGGUUACACAACUUUAAUUGAGUGUUAAUGUUCACCCAUCAGUCCAGGUACAAAUAUCAAGUUCUGCUAUUAGUGUUUUCACUUGUUCAAAGCAGUUUAUCUGCACCAGUUCCAGUUAAAAUCCCCUAGUUAAAAGUGUCCCAGUUAAAAUUCCCUUUCCAACUUUAAAAAAAGUUGUUUUUCUCAUGUUCUCUGUAUACUUUUGCAAAUGUUUUAAGAUGUGUUGGAUGUAUUUUAAUAUUUAUUUUAAGGGUUUCUACUUUGCUCAGAACCAGCUCCAAACCCCAGUUUCUAACAGCCAACAGCCAGUUUUAGACCUUUAGCCGUUGGUCUGUAAGUAAGCUCCAUGGCAA